rnacentral:tRNA from 1 species
AAGACUCUAGUAAAUCAUUACAUAGCACCGUCAGCGCUAAAUAACAGGUACCACCCCUGUGAGACUUA